CAUUCCAAAAAGAAUUUGAGAGGUGACCAACAUGGCAGCCCACAGAGGAGCCUGGUAAAGAUGUGCCCACACUACAGGGGGAGGAGGGAGGGAGUCCAUGUCCUCCCACGAAACUGCCAUCUCCUCAAUGCAGCCUCAAAGCACCCUUACCCUCAUGUUUUGCGGGGUGUGCCAGAUUUCACAUAUUAUCUACUGGAGCUGUAAAGAUACCCAACAAUGGUGAAAUACUAAGAAAAGGGAAGGGAAAAUCCUCUCUAAACACGACUCUGCCCAAGAUCUGGACCCAGAGACCGCGUCCUCUCCUCGAGAACUGCAUCAGGGCCAGCGAUGCAGUCACUGUCAACACCAAAUGGAUUCCCAAAGAUGGGAUGCGUCUUCUGUCCAGGAAACUUGCCACAGCAAACACAGCCCUGGGCCUGGGACCCACAACAGAGGUCAGACCCCCACAGAACGUGAUUUCCAGAGAAGAAACAGCAAGCUGAGAAAUGAAACAGGUGCGUGGACACCUGUGGGGAAAGCACGGCCUCUCCCACUCUGAACCGUGGCUCCACAGCCCCCUAAGCUUCCAUGAAUUAAAGCAUGCUAUCUGAACCCUUUCUGGUCUGUGGAGGAAAACAAAAACAAAAGCCAGCCACACACCCAGAACAAUCUCCCAAGAUCUAACCGGCUAAGUGCUGGGCUAUAGCAGGUGUCUGUUCUGAGGGCAUAAACCAGGGAAUGGGGGUCACACAAUGUUUACUUUCAGUCUGACUUUCCACACGGUGAAGAUAUCUACACAUAUUUACCACCAUAAAUAUGCUGAUUUCUUCUUUUAUACGUCAGUCUCUUGUGAAUUUGGAUAGUAUGAUCAUCACAAUUUGGUUUACUGACAAAAUCAAGUUUCCAGACCUGCAAAGAUGACACUUGCUUCCCAUGGGGACCUUCUGCCUGGUUCUCACACUGAUGGGUCCCACCCUACACAGCAGUGCAGGGGGUUCUCUACCUGGCUAAGCAGAAAACCAGUGGUGGGUCUGGGUACACCUAGUGCCAUUAGAUGCUCAUGGAGCACACAACUCAACAUGACACCAGGAAGACUCACAAUCUUUGACACUGGAAAACAUCUACUCCAUCUCUCCUACUUUAACUCAGACUAAAUUAAAAUGAAAAUGGACUCCAUUAGAAAUGAGGAUGUCUUUGAGGCGCCUGGGUGGCUCAGUUGGUUAAGUGUCAGACUUCGGCUCAGGUCAUGAUCUCGCGGUCUGUGGGUUCAAGCCCCGCGUCGGGCUCUGUGCUGACAGCUCAGAGCCUGGAGCCUGCUUCAGAUUCUGUGUCUCCCCCUCUCUCUGACCCUCCCCCGGCUCACACACUCUCUCUCUCUCUCUCAAAAUAAAGACACACACAAAAAAAAUUAAAAAAAAAAAAAAGAAAUGAGGAUGUCUCACUGGCAGAAAGGCACAGAGUGGAGACAACGGGGCCACCAGGAUGCAGCAAUCAGCUGUGCGCCUAACACAGGCCUGUCCACCAGCUACAUGCGCAUGUACCACGGUGACUCAACAGUGAGAGUAACCUUACGAGGCCAGAGUAACUCAGUUCCACUCCAAAGAUCUAGCUCUUAGUUCCUCAGUUUCAACCAAGUUUUUCCUAAUAUAAAACCAUCACGAAGGGAAAUCACUCAACAUGAUGUCAUUUGUUAUACCCUUAGGUUAUCAAUAUAAAAAACAAAAUGGGCAAUGUGGCUCAAAAAUACAGUCAUCCUAACAAACUCAGUAACAGAAAUCCACAAUGUGGGACAUUCUGCAAGACCACUGACAUAGCUUCCUCAUCGCAAAAGAUGAAAGAUAUUAGCAGGGGCAAUGGUUGCAGAUAUCAAAUAUAACAACCAAAUGCAAAGUGUGGAUUCUGUUAGGAUCCUAAUUUAAACCAACCAACCAUAAAAUGACAUUCUGACAUGAUCGGAGGGUGAUUUUAAAAUAGAUGUCAUCAAGCAAUUACUUCAAAUUUUGUUAGGUGUGAAAACAACACUGUGGUUAUGUAAGGAUGCCUUCUGUGUUUUUAAAAGGUACGUCCUCUGAGUUGAGAAGUGGAAGUUUCGCGGCCUCUAUGGUGUGCUCCAAAAUACCACAGCAACAAAAACAAAAGGAAAAGGAAGAGAAGGAACGAACAAGAUAGGAACCAUGUGGCAAAAUCUUGACCAUGAUCAUGGAAUUGAAACAAGAACCAUUUUAAAAGCUCCUGUAUUGAAGGAGUAAGGGAACAAAAUGACCAGAGCCAAGGAGGCACAGAGCCAUGAUCUCCGACUGGAGGGGACGAGGCUGGGAGAUGGCACCUACUUCACAUUGACUGGGACAGCCAUGGUCAAAAAAGAUGAGCCAAAACAAAAACAAGUGCUGGCAAGGAUGUGGAGGAGCUGAAACCCUCACGCGUUGCUGGCGGAAAUGCAAAAUGACGUGGCUACUGUGGAAAACGGUUUGGUGGUUCCUCAGAAAGUUAAAGAAAGAAUUCCCACAUGACUCAGCGAUUUACUCCUGGGUGUACACUCCAAAGACUGAAAAGAGACACUCAAACAGAUGCUUGUACACAAACAUUCAGAGCAGCACUAUUCACAACAGUCACAAGAUGGAAAAAACCCACAUGUUCAUCAGCAGAUGAAUAAACAAAAUGUGGUCUAUGCAUACGAGGGAAGAUUACUCAGCCAGAAAAAGAAAUGAGGCUCUGCCACAGGCCAUCGCGCAGAUGAACCUUGAGAACAUUACGCAGAGAGAGAUGUGCCAGGCACAAAAUGACAAAUCAGUCUACUUACAUGAAACACCUACUUUAGGCAAAUUCAUAGAGACAAAAAAAGGAAAGGAGAGUUACUGCUUAAUAGGUACAGAGUUUCUGCUUGGGGUGGCAAGAAUGUUUUACAAACAGGCAAUGAUGAUGGUCACACAACACCGUAAACAUACUUGUGCCACCAAAAGUAGGCUUAAAAAUGGCUGAGGGGCACCUGGGUAACUCAGCCGGUUAAGCUUCUGCUCUUGAUUUCGGCUCAGGUCCUGAUGUCAAGGUUAGUGAGUCUGAGCCCCGAACUGGAAUUCUCUCUCUCCCCCUCUCUCUGCCCCUCCACUGCUCACGCAUGCUCUCUCUCCCUCAAAAAUAAAUAAACUUUAAAAAAUGGCUGAAAU